rnacentral:rRNA from 1 species
GACGAACGCUGGCGGCGUGCUUAACACAUGCAAGUCGAACGGAAAGGCCCUGCUUUUGUGGGGUGCUCGAGUGGCGAACGGGUGAGUAACACGUGAGUAACCUGCCCUUGACUUUGGGAUAACUUCAGGCAACUGGGGCUAAUACCGGAUAGGAGCUCCUGCUGCAUGGUGGGGGUUGGAAAGUUUCGGCGGUUGGGGAUGGACUCGCGGCUUAUCAGCUUGUUGGUGGGGCAGUGGCUUACCAAGGCUUUGACGGGUAGCCGGCCUGAGAGGGUGACCGGCCACAUUGGGACUGGGAUACGGCCCAGACUCCUACGGGAGGCAGCAGUGGGGAAUAUUGCACAAUGGGCGGAAGCCUGAUGCAGCAACGCCGCGUGCGGGAGGACGGCCUGCGGGUGGUAAAGCGCUUUCGCCUGGGACGAAGCGUGAGUGACGGUAAUGGGUAAAGAAGCACCGGCUAAAUACGUG